rnacentral:rRNA from 1 species
GAUGAACGCUGGCGGCGUGCCUAACACAUGCAAGUCGAACGAAAAGACGGGAAGCGCUUGCUCUUGACGGUAGCGAGUGACGGACGGGUAAGACAUACAUAACCAACCUAUAUUACGGGGGGAACUACGUGAAGCCAGAGACAAUACCGGAUAAUAUAUUGAACCGGAUGGCUCAGUAGAUAAAGAGAGUUUUGGCGUCUCUCUGAGAUGGAUCCGCUCCGCAUUAGCUAGUGGGUAAGGUAACGGCUUACCAAGGCAACGAUGCGUAGCCGACCGGAGAGGUUGAUCGGCCACACUGGAACUGAGACACGGUCCAGACUCCUACGGGAGGCAGCAGUGGGGAAUCUUCCGCAAUGGGCGAAAGCCUGACGGAGCAACGCCGCGUGGGUGAUGAAGGUCUUCGGAUCGUAAACCCCUGUUAUUGGGAAAGAAAAGCUGUGUGAGAAAAUCUGCACGUCUUGACGGUACCUAAACAGAAAGCCACGGCUAACUACGUG